rnacentral:rRNA from 1 species
GACGAACCGUGCGAACGUUGUUCGGAAUCACUGGGCUUAAAGGGCGCGUAGGCGGGUUCGAAAGUCUGUGGUGAAAGCCUCCAGCUUAACUGGAGAAGUGCCAUGGAUACUGCGAACCUGGAGGAGGGUAGGGGCAUCUGGAACGCUGGGUGGAGCGGUGAAAUGCGUUGAUAUCCAGCGGAACUCCGGUGGCGAAGGCGAGGUGCUGGACCCUUUCUGACGCUGAGGCGCGAAAGCCAGGGGAGCAAAGCGGG